UCAAGCUACAUAUAACCUACUGACAGAGUAACAGACAGCCACAGCUGGGGGCAAGAAGGGGCGCAUCAGGAACUUUGAUUCGUUCCCAGUUCAAAGUGUAUGAGAGAAGUGUGACAAAAGCGGUUCGGAUGGGGCCAAAGGAGGGAAAGAAAAUAAACAAAAGGUCUUGCUGCAGCUUCAUUAACCUCAAGCACAGUCCUCUCAGAUGGGGUGGGAGUCCCCAAAUGCUUAUUUUAUGAGCUAUAGUAAAGUGGUAACAUCUGGAUGAGCUGAUGACAUGACAAGGUCAACACUGGAAGGGCGGCUCUCACCUCUGCAUGAUCUCAUCCUGGAACAGCGACUUGUUCAGCAAGGUGAGGGUGGGCAGUUCCAGGAAGUGCACCCCACCACCUUCAGUGCCCAGAGCAAGAAGUUCACAGCUCAGCUUCAACAACAUGACGGUCACACGUGUCGCACUACACAGGAGAAGAAACCAGCAUAAAGGUCAUAGUUUGGACAAGAUGAUAAAAGGCAUCACACUAAGCAAAAUGUGAGGAAAUGCAACCAGAAUAAGGAACAAAACCUUACCUGGUGCUCUCGAUGCCUGGCCUGCCAGGCAGGUUGAAGCUGUGAACCUCCACCAAAUGAGAUCGGUUUUCUCUCUGCACAAUCUCCCAUAGGUGAAUGGUGUUAUCAUCCAACAAAGAAAGUAUCCUUCCCUAUAAACAGAAAAAAACACAUCUCAUAUGGUUUAAAAGGCACAACCCUACCGUUCAAAUGGCAACUUUCAAAAUAAAAGCCAACACCUAAUAAGCUACAAUGACUGAAACAUGGUCUUACCUGUCCAUAGAGAAAGUGUAUCUGAGUGACGGCAGCGGUGUCUUUAUGAAGGCCAGUCAUCUCCACCCCAGGAGCCCCAUAUCUUAAUGCGCAGUCAAGGGAACAAUCUUCAGACUAGGCUUUCAUAAUCUAUUAUGGAGUCAAUUAUAAUUUUCAAUUGAUCAAAUAUUAAUUCUUACUCUCUUAAAGAAAAAAAAACAUGCUCACUAUACACACUGUGGAUUUAAAGUAAUGACUUUACUUUAAAAGUAUUGUGAAUUAAGGGGCGGUUAGAUUACAGUUUACAAGAAAUAUCUAAUGCAUAAGAUUAAAAACCUAAAUUUAAUGUCUAGCAUUUGAUACUGUCACAAUAUAUCAAGCAGGCCCAUACUUUUAUUCUUGUUUCUUUCAAAGGGAAAUCAAGCCAAAUCAAAGCUAAAUGUGAAUGUUGUGAAAAAUAUUCAUGAAGCAACACUGUGUAAUGACUCAGGAAACAGAGGAUUCUCUGAGGGAAUUAAUUAUAAUUGUAUAAUGCUCAUUAAACAGCCCAGUGAACUACAUACUAAGAACGGAGCCAAAAUCUAAUCAAAAGGAUUGGCCUACACUCAAUCGGAUCAUAAAUGUCUCCAGAAUAAGCAGAUAUCUCCCACUUCUCUUUUUCAGCUUGACAUCAGCUUGACAUCAACAGCAGCUGGCAAAGCUGAUCGUGAUUUUCUUGAAGAGACGGUCGCUCAAAUGAUUUCUGGACUGCUAUUGUGGUCUGCUUUUCAUUACAAAACUACACAGCCUUCCACUCUCAUAACAAAAGAGUGGAUAUCUAGGUCAAAUCUGAUCCACGUAAAAUGAUCCAAACUCUGCAGGAAGAAAGAGACAUCCUCAGAAUAACGAAACUCAGUAGGCCUUUAAAAGUAAAUCUGUUUUUUUUUUUUAAGAGCAUGAGUGCACUAUGCAUAUUGCAUACCAUUUAAUGGUAUGUAUCAUGCAAAGCAUGCACUUAACAAGACCCACCAUACUGUCAAAAAUGUGCAGUAUACAACCCCAACAACACUGUGUUAGAUACCAUAUUUCACAAUGUAAUGCCCCAUACCGGACCAUCUAUUCCAGCUUGAUGAAUAAUAAACUGAACGUGUUUAACAAGUGCUAUUAUUUGACCAAAGAGCAAAAAGAUAAAUGCAUUCCCACACAAUACUGAACUAAAGUAUGCUGAAUAACAGAAACAUUACAUUUUCAAACAGCCACAAGUUUCAUGCAUUUUGUGUUUGUUUGUUUAUUGAGGGGGCAAUGUUGGCUCACUUCAAGAAAAAAAAUGAAGAAAUUAUUUAACGACUGAAAUUUUAAUUGUGUAAAGUGUUCAGACUUCAUCCAAACGUUUAUUAUUUAUUGUUAAAUAAAUAUUCCUUAUAAUUCUU